rnacentral:tRNA from 1 species
GAGGGUAUAGCUCAGUGGUAAGAGUGUGUGCUUAGCAUGUGCGAGGUCCUGGGUUCAAUCCCCAGUGCCUCCG